CAGAAGAGGAAUUGCGGACGGAGUCAGUGACCAUCUUUAACUGCAGCUGAGACAAAUAGCGUGCUGUGGACUAGUGUCGAAGCGGGCUGUUGCCACUUUUUAAGACCAACCAAGAAACUCAGCUAGGAAGUAAGCAGAAGAAUGGGCUGCUUCUCCAUUCUCCAGUACGCCCAAAGACAUGAGCUGUAUGAAGAAGUGGAUCUGGCGGAAAUCGCAGACGAAUGCAGAAAGAAGACUGGGCAGACACCAGUGGUUGUAGUAGAUGGAAGACAAUGCGUGUGGCUCCUGUACCGAGGGUGUGACUUCUACUGUGGUGGGCAGUACAAAGAAUUCCGAGAAGCGUGCACAAACUUGGUGCGGCGCUUCAGAAAUUGUGGAGUGCAUCUCGUGUUCUACUUCUACGGGCUACCGUCUGUUGACAAGAAGGAGAAGUGGGUGCGGCUGAAUAGGGAGAGUGCAGAGCAAAUGAGCAAGUCCUUGAGGACCGCACACGAGCAGGGCUCGACGCGAGUGAGGCCGAAGCGCCAUCCGGAAGGUCUGGUGCCGUGUGCACACGUCAUCUUCAGGGAAGAACCGAAUAGUGAGGUCCGGCUUUCUACAGGCAUCUGCCAUCAGGAGAUAGCGCAGUACGCAGCCAGCAACACGAACUGCCUGGGGGUGAUGAGCGGGAAUGCCGAUUUCCUGGUGUACAGUGGUGUGCCAAGCCUUUUAAUUCUCCACGGUGAGUCGAAGGCCGAAGAGGGCGUGAGUCUAAGGAGGUUUCGCCCAGCAGUUAUCGCCUCACAUCUAGGCAUCCGACUACAACAUCUGCCAGCAUUUGGGACAUUUGCAGGAGACAGUUUUAUCAAAUCAGAUGAGCUACAGCGUGUCCACGGGCGACUGCAAGACUUUUAUAACUGCAGGGGGAACCCUAUGGCCGCAGUAGCGAAGCUGGUGAAGGAUAACGCAGUCGAUGAAAUGUGUCGGAUUGCAUUUGGUGACAGGUGGGCAGAAUUCCUCGAGACUGUGGAAGUAGGAAUUGGCCAGUACGGGUGCAAGCCGACAGUCUCUGACAGUCCUACGGAAGGUUCCGACUGGUCGCAGGUGCUGCACUUCAUAGAAUCGAAACACGUGUCGGGCGAAAUACCAGGAAUGGUUCUGUCCCUGGCCAAAAGUCGCAUCUUCCGUGCGGGUGCCGCCCUAGAGGACAUGGCGGAUGGUGCUCAAAAUGGACUGUCGACAGCAGAGAUGCUCCAGCCCAUGAGGCGCAGGAUGUACACCGUGCUGCUCUGGGAAAGUGGAGAGGGGCCUUUCAGAGUGGAGGAGUUCUUCACCAGGAGGUCAGACGUGUGUCAGGAGGAGGUGGAGGUCUCGAAGUGGCUGCCCCCCGGUGUGACACACCCAGGACUGCGACGGCUGUGGACGGCUGAUGUGGAAUCGCGCUGGCGGCUCUUCACCUGGAUAGUGGGCGCCCCAGAUGGGGACGGUUCUGCUCUGAGGUCUCUUCAGCCCCAGUACCUCGCGGUUCCGGCUGCCGCACUUUCUUUCCUCCGGCACGAGGCCUGCUGUCUGGAACGUCACGAGGCUGAGGUCCUCGCAGUGGUCGCCGUGACUGUGGGGCGCCUUUCGGUUCAGCAGUUAGCUCAAAAGCAGCUCCCGUCACUAGACACUCGGGCCGUGUAUUUGGCGUCUUUAUUCGUUCGCACUGCCCUACAAGUUCUGGAUGCUGCUGCCAUCUGUGGGUUAUCCUUCCCCCGAGACUCAGAGUGUCUGCUGGACGCCUAUUUUGAUGGGAUAUUCUUCCAUGAGCUCUAUCUUAAGGCCAAGGCCCAGUCGUUUGCAAGGAUUGGAGCCCACCUACCACGGGACCGUCCACAUCUUGGGCCACUCCACCACCUGUUGGAUGUAAUUGAAGGGACUCACACCAGUCGCCAAUAACCGGUCUUUGAGAAAAUUUACAUCUACAUCUACAGCUACACAGAUACUCCGCAAAUCACACUUCAGUGCCCAGCAGACGGUUUAUCGUGUCACUUACACAAUCCUUCCACCGAGACUCGGAGUGCCUGCUGGACGCCUAUUUUGAUGGGAUAUUCUUCCACGAGCUCUACCUUAAGGCUAAGGCCCAGUUAUUUGCUAGGAUUGGAACCCACCUACCACGGGACCGUCCUUAUCUUGGGCCACUCCACCAGCUGUUGGAUGUAAUCGAAGGGACUCGCACCAGUCGCCAAUAACCGGUCUUUGAGAAAAUUUACAUCUACAUCUACAGCUACACAGAUACUCCGCAAAUCACACUUAAGUACCCAGCAGACGGUUUAUCGUGUCACUUACACAAUCCUUCCACCGAGACUCGGAGUGCCUGCUGGACGCCUAUUUUGAUGGGAUAUUCUUCUAUGAGCUCUACCUUAAGACUAAGGCCCAGUCAUUUGCUAGGAUUGGAACCCACCUACCACGGGACCGUCCUUAUCUUGGGCCACUCCACCAGCUGUUGGAUGUAAUCGAAGGGACUCGCACCAGUCGCCAAUAACCGGUCUUUGAGAAAAUUUACAUCUACAUCUACAGCUACACAGAUACUCCGCAAAUCACACUUAAGUACCCAGCAGACGGUUUAUCGUGUCACUUACACAAUCCUUCCCCCGAGACCUCUGUUGACCGCUUCACCGUAGCUUUGCCGCGCUUUGUCGCAUGUUUCACAGAAAACUGGACGACGGACAUUUAUCAACAGGCGUACAAGUUCUCCGUCUGUUUCCCUGUACACCAGCAUGGAGUCGGGGUCAACCACCCACUCACUGUCACUCAUCUUAUGGCGGCUGGAGGCCGCGCCGCGUUACCGCUUUCUCAGAGCUUGAGCCGCUCUAAGCUGCCUAUUGUCGCUUCCCUUCGCCGUUCCCCAGCCCGCCACGGUCAACUCUAAAUGUUUCCCUGGGGUAAACUAGCAUCCAGUAAAUCGACUCGUUUCCACAAGGUUUUCACGUCGUGUGAAUUACUUUAAAACCAUCACCCGACAUUAAUCAUUCCAAUACGUCCAUACUAUACCCUCUACAAGAUGCAUUGUGCCUUGUCAGUCAUUUUUGGUUCAGCCCUACUGUUCACUCAACGUGAGUUGGGUGAUCUUUAAUGACUUCAUGUAAGGGGCAUAGUUCUUGCCAUCUUACAGUUUUCAUGUAUGCAGUUCAUGUGACGUAAAAAUUCUUGGAGACGGUCUAGACCAUGAGGCCACACUAUAAAAGUGUCAUCAACGUAUCGCCAAAAUGCUGUCAGUUUAAAAGUGGCAGAGUCGAGUGCUCAUACAUCACAUACAUUGUAGAUGUUUGAGGUUUGAAAAGGUCUCUGAAAGCAUAUAGUUUCAUACAAAUAAUUUAUUAUCCACCCUCUGCCAGGCACUUAAGUGUCAUUUACCGAGUAUCCAUGUCGAUGUAGAUGAAUGCCGGGGCCAGCAUCAGAUCCUAGCUUAGAGGUCUGAUAUAACUGUUAAGCCAUGUCAUGGCUCAGCAUUUUUGAUUUAUCCGCGAGAUUUUUCACUUGUUUUCGCUGCAGCGAUAGGGGGCGUGACCGCUGAGUGCUGUUGGCGCUGGUGCGCGAAGCAAAAGUUUUGGCAGUACGGCUGGGUCGGUAUAUGGCGACAGGACGGAAGCAGCUGGGAGUCAACUGGUGCCAGCCGAGUAUGGACUGCGAUGAGUGCGGCUGUUUGCGAGCAUGUGGGAAUGCUCACUUGCUUAGCGUUGUUCUCCAUGACCAGCUGUUUUAUGUUGGGUCUAGCACUCGAGUGUAACAGGAAACUGCAUUGGUGUAGUUCUCGUCACCUGGCUAAGGCCGCAAUUUUGAUAUCCCUUUAUUAUAUCUGUGGAAUCGUGCGGGGCCCACGCUCUGCCACCAUUUAUGAUGUACAGACGGUAGCAGAGCCAGGAUGGGGAAGGUGUAGGUACAUUUAUUUGGUCCAAGCACUCUUGACACAAAUUUAUUAUUUAACAAUAACUGGUUAUACAUCCAAGUUAGUACAACUAGCAGUUUAAAAGGAAAUUUUAGCAAUAAAAAAUUUUAUUUUAACCUUUCUCUAGAAGAACAUGCAGCCCCACUCUGAAACAUUACAUAAAGGUACUGUUAGGAAACGGUAUAUUAUAUCGUACAAGAGUGCAACAUGUACAAAUAUUAACAAUUACAUCAGAAAAAUAUUGAACUUGUGAUUUGUACUACAUAUAAAUCAAACCUUUAAAAAGUCCAAUUUGGCAA